rnacentral:lncRNA from 1 species
CUCACAUUCUUUUUGCUUCAGCCACAUGGAAAUUCGUGCAGCCCUUUAAAAGCAUCAGGCCUUCAGAUGGGGUUCACGCUCCGGUGCUUGGAAUAUCCGUUGGCCCUCUCUCCUCCCCAGGCCCAUUCAUUCUUCCAUUUCUACCUUCCUUUCAAUACUCAGCUCAAGCACUAUUUCCCAGAACGCUUUUACAGUCCCAAUCUGAUUUUCUCUGGGCUCUCGUGGCGUCCUACACACAACAUGAAGAUACCCUUUACCACAUCUCACUGUAAUCGGGUGGCUUGCCCCUCUUCCCAAGGAGACGGGGUACUUUAUGAAGGCAGAUCUCAGUCUAUCUAGCUUUCUAUCUUCAAUGUUUAGCUUAUGAACAGCAGUUGAUAUUUCUAAAUGAAUAAAUAAAAAGUUAUCAACCAUGAAAGUUCUACAGUUUAAUAAGUAGGCUAUUUAACCAAGAAACCUUUUACCAUUCAAACAGCAGGCCACGCAGCUGUGCCAUUUCACACGCUGACCGUGCAUCUCGUUCCCGAACGUGAGCGCAAUAUUGCCGGCCCAUUUGCCAGUGGGAAAAUCUGGACAUUUAAGAGAGCAUCUCCAGGAGGUAUCAUCAGCCCACAGCGGAUCUCAAGCAGCCUGUCGUCUGCAAAACCCACCAGAUCAGUGUCUUUCUCCCGGCCUUGAGCUACACGUUACCUAUAGCCACUAAAAGAGGUGGGCAGAUAGACAUAUUUAAGGUAAUCUCUCUUUGGUAUGUUGGUCUAUGUGGGUGUGUUUCUGUGUGCGCGCGCGUGGCAGAGGGAGGAAGGAGGGCAUCCCUUCUUCAGAGACGCCUUUCCUGACCCCCUUGACCAGGUGAGGUUCGCCUCCGCCCCCCACUCGGAGCUCCUUAUUGUCCCCAUCUGCACCCAUCACAGCUCUCCUUGCAUUCGUGUGUUUAACGCCUGUCUCCACUGCACGAGGUAAGGAGCCUAACAGGUUCCUGUCCACUCCUGAAAUCCCCCUGCGCACCAGGACGCCUGAAGCAACACAAGGAUCCCGUAGACAUUUACUCGCCAACUGUUUCCGGCUGGAUUUGGGGGACCCCGGCCGACUCCAGCGCCCCGCCCACCAACGGCCGGCGG